ACCGUACUAGAGAAAUGGUUAACUCGUCGGCCUUCUAUUGCCAAAGUCAAUAAGCCGAAGAUUCUCGGUUCGAGUCCGGGGUACGGUG
rnacentral:tRNA from 1 species